GACGAACGCUGGCGGCGUGCUUAACACAUGCAAGUCGAACGGAAAGGCCCCUUUGGGGGUACUCGAGUGGCGAACGGGUGCGUAACACGUGAGUAACCUGCCCUUGACUUCGGGAUAACUUCAGGAAACUGGGGCUAAUACCGGAUAGGAAUCCUUGCUGCAUGGUGGGGGUUGGAAAGCUUCGGCGGUUUUGGAUGGACUCGCGGCUUAUCAGCUUGUUGGUGGGGUAGUGGCUUACCAAGGCUUUGACGGGUAGCCGGCCUGAGUGGGCGACCGGCCACAUUGGGACUGAGAUACGGCCCAGACUCCGACGGGAGGCAGCAGUGGGGAAUAUUGCACAAUGGGCGGAGGCCUGAUGCAGCAACGCCGCGUGCGGGAUGACGGUCUUCGGGUUGUAAACCGCAUUCAGCAGGGGCGAAGCUUGUGGUGACGGUACCUGCAGAAGAAGCACCGGCUAACUACGUG
rnacentral:rRNA from 1 species